GCCAGUGUAGUCUAGUGGUGUGAGCAUUGGACUAUGACUCUGGAGACCAGGGUUCAAAUCCCCACUUUGCCA
rnacentral:tRNA from 1 species